ACCACACUAAUCUGGGUCACGUAGUAUCGUAACCACACUAAUCUGGGUCACGUCGUAUCGUAACCACACUAAUCUGGGUCACGUCGUAUCGUAACCACACUAAUCUGGGUCACGUCGUAUCGUAACCACACUAAUCUGGGUCACGUCGUAUCGUAACCACACUAAUCUGGGUCACGUCGUAUCGUAACCACUAAUCCGGGUCACGUCGUAUCGUAACAACACUAAUCUGGGUCACGUUGUAUCGUAACCACACUAAUCUGGGUCACGUCGUAUCGUAACCACUAAUCUGGGUCACGUCGUAUCGUAACCACACUAACCUGGGUCACGUCGUAUCGUAACCACACUAACCUGGGUCACGUAGUAUCGUAACCACACUAAUCUGGGUCACGUAGUAUCGUAACCACACUAAUCUGGGUCACGUCGUAUCGUAACCACUAAUCCGGGUCACGUCGUAUCGUAACCACACUAAUCUGGGUCACGUCGUAUCGUAACCACACUAAUCUGGGUCACAUCGUAUCGUAACAACACUAAUCUGGGUCACGUCGUAUCGUAACCACACUAAUCUGGGUCACGUCGUAUCGUAACCACACUAAUCUGGGUCGUAUCGUAACAACACUAAUCUGGGUCACGUCGUAUCGUAACCACUAAUCUGGGUCACGUCGUAUCGUAACCACACUAAUCUGGGUCACGUAGUAUCGUAACCACACUAAUCUGGGUCACGUCGUAUCUUAACCACACUAAUCUGGGUCACGUCGUAUCGUAACCACUAAUCUGGGUCACGUCGUAUCGUAACCACACUAAUCUGGGUCACGUCGUAUCGUAACAACACUAAUCUGGGUCGUAUCGUAACCACACUAAUCUGGGUCACGUCGUAUCUUAACCACACUAAUCUGGGUCACGUCGUAUCGUAACCACUAAUCUGGGUCACGUCGUAUCGUAACCACACUAAUCUGGGUCACGUCGUAUCGUAACAACACUAAUCUGGGUCACGUCGUAUCGUAACCACACUAAUCUGGGUCACGUCGUAUCGUAACCACUAAUCUGGGUCACGUCGUAUCGUAACCACACUAAUCUGGGUCACGUCGUAUCGUAACAACACUAAUCUGGGUCGUAUCGUAACCACACUAAUCUGGGUCACGUCGUAUCUUAACCACACUAAUCUGGGUCACGUCGUAUCGUAACCACUAAUCUGGGUCACGUCGUAUCGUAACCACUAAUCUGGGUCACGUCGUAUCGUAACCACACUAAUCUGGGUCACGUCGUAUCGUAACCACACUAAUCUGGGUCACGUCGUAUCGUAACCGCACUAAUCUGGGUCACGUCGUAUCGUAACCACUAAUCUGGGUCACGUCGUAUCGUAACCACACUAAUCUGGGUCACGUCGUAUCUUAACCACACUAAUCUGGGUCACGUCGUAUCGUAACCACUAAUCCGGGUCACGUCGUAUCGUAACCACACUAAUCUGGGUCACGUCGUAUCGUAACCACACUAAUCUGGGUCACGUCGUAUCGUAACCACACUAAUCUGGGUCACGUCGUAUCGUAACCACACUAAUCUGGGUCACGUCGUAUCUUAACCACACUAAUCUGGGUCACGUCGUAUCGUAACAACACUAAUCUGGGUCACGUCGUAUCGUAACCACUAAUCUGGGUCACGUCGUAUCGUAACCACACUAAUCUGGGUCACGUCGUAUCGUAACAACACUAAUCUGGGUCGUAUCGUAACCACACUAAUCUGGGUCACGUCGUAUCGUAACCACACUAAUCUGGGUCACGUCGUAUCGUAACCACACUAAUCUGGGUCACGUCGUAUCGUAACCACACGAAUCUGGGUCACGUCGUAUCGUAACAACACUAAUCUGGGUCGUAUCGUAACCACACUAAUCUGGGUCACGUCGUAUCGUAACCACACUAAUCUGGGUCACAUCGUAACCACACUAAUCUGGGUCACGUCGUAUCGUAACCACACUAAUAUGGGUCACGUCGUAUCGUAACCACACUAAUCUGGGUCGUAUCGUAACCACACUAAUCUGGGUCACGUCGUAUCGUAACCACACUAAUCUGGGUCACGUCGUAUCGUAACCACUAAUCCGGGUCACGUCGUAUCGUAACAACACUAAUCUGGGUCGUAUCGUAACCACACUAAUCUGGGUCACGUCGUAUCGUAACCACUAAUCUGGGUCACGUCGUAUCGUAACCACACUAAUCUGGGUCACGUAGUAUCGUAACCACACUAAUCUGGGUCACGUAGUAUCGUAACCACACUAAUCUGGGUCACGUAGUAUCGUAACCACACUAAUCUGGGUCACGUAGUAUCGUAACCACACUAAUCUGGGUCGUAUCGUAACCACACUAAUCUGGGUCAUGUAGUAUCGUAACAACACUAAUCUGGGCCGUAUCGUAACCACACUAAUCUGGGUCACGUCGUAUCGUAACAACACUAAUCUGGGUCACGUCGUAUCGUAACCACACUAAUCUGGGUCACGUCGUAUCGUAACCACACUAAUCUGGGUCACGUAGUAUCGUAACCACACUAAUCUGGGUCACGUAGUAUCGUAACCACACUAAUCUGGGUCGUAUCGUAACCACACUAAUCUGGGUCACGUCAUAUCGUAACCACUAAUCUGGGUCGUAUCGUAACCACACUAAUCUGGGUCACGUCGUAUCGUAACCACACUAAUCUGGGUCAUGUAGUAUCGUAACAACACUAAUCUGGGUCACGUCGUAUCGUAACCACACUAAUCUGGGUCACGUCGUAUCGUAACCACACUAAUCUGGUUCAUGUAGUAUCGUAACCACACUAAUCUGGGUCGUAUCGUAACCACACUAAUCUGGGUCACGUCGUAUCGUAACCACACUAAUCUGGGUCACGUCGUAUCGUAACCACACUAAUCUGGGUCAUGUAGUAUCGUAACCACACUAAUCUGGGUCACGUCGUAUCGUAACCACACUAAUCUGGGUCAUGUAGUAUCGUAACCACACUAAUCUGUCAGGGUUAGAGGUUACGGCUGUCUUGUCUGUCAGGGUUAGAGGUUACCACUGUCCUGUCUGUCAGGGUUAGAGGUUACCACUGUCCUGUCUGUCAGGGUUAGAGGUUACCACUGUCCUGUCUGUCAGGGUUAGAGGUUACCACUGUCCUGUCUGUCAGGGUUAGAGGUUACCACUGUCCUGUCUGUCAGGGUUAGAGGUUACCACUGUCCUGUCUGUCAGGGUUAGAGGUUAGAGGUUACAGUUCAGGGUUAAACCAGUGUGUUCUGUCGUCAGGUACCUGGCAGAGUGGAUGACGUAUGGUUACCCCACGGCUAACGUCUGUCCUGUCUGUCAGGGUUAGAGGUUACAGUUCAGGGUUAAACCAGUGUGUUCUGUCGUCAGGUACCUGGCAGAGUGGAUGACGUAUGGUUACCCCACGGCUAACGUCUGUCCUGUCUGUCAGGGUUAGAGGUUACAGUUCAGGGUUAAACCAGUGUGUUCUG